GGCAGGACAGGGCUGCCCUCAGCCACCAUUGCCAUAUACUCAGGGUGCGGGCCUCUCUGUCUGUUGCCCAGCUGGCUCUGUCAGGUCACAGAAGCCCAAGUUGUCCCCCUCAGAAAGACUGUUCCUCGUGUGGGGGUCGAUGCCGUGUGCGGGCAGGUGCGAGCUUUGGUCUGGUUGCUGAUGAAACAGGAGUGAGGUCUGUGCCUGUCCCAGGUGCAAGCAAAUUCCCGGUGCCCCAUUGUGUGCCUGGCUGCCACUCCUUGCCCACCCCUGCUGUGCCCCAUCACCACCUUACAUCUUCACUGCUGCUUUUUCCCUGCUUGCUCCUUGCCCACGUGCCACAGGAGCUCCCUGAGCCCCUCCCCAUGGCCCCGUGCAGGGCUGAAUCCCCUUCAUCACGCCGGGGAGACUGAUGGUAAUCGGGAAGGAAGUGGUUUGUGGAGGGGUGACAGUGAUGAGCUGGCUCAGAAGUGUGGCUAUGGCUUGAGGUUUCUGCUCUGGAAAGCUGACUAAUUUCCACCAGAAGUGAGGCCACAAGAAAAAAAAGUCCCUAGAGAUGGCUGUGCUGCUGACCUUUUGACAUGGGCGCUGGGAAGGGGCCGAAUGGCUCAGUGGUGCAGGUAAGCCCAUUGCUUGCCUCCUGUUCCAUUGGGAUGCAUUUCCAUCUCCUGCUUUCAGGGUUCCUUUGGCUUUUCCCCCCUGGGGCCAUGUGUUUCCCUAAAGGCUUUGUCUCUGUAGCCUGCAAAUAUCAUAAUCUAACACACAAAAUCUCCUUUUUAGUUUUUGUGGGCACAAACACCCGCAAAUGAGAUGGCUUUGGCAUGGGGAGAAUGCUCAAAAAAAAAAAAGUAGCCCAUACAAAUGCCUGCUGAAAUGCGUUCUCUUCCUUUGUGCAAAGAGGGGGGAUUGUAUAAGGGAGCAAUGAAAGGCCCCAGUUAUGUCUCUGUAGGGUUGGAAAGGCAGACCCCAGCAGCAGAUGAGGCUCUGCAAAUUCCUUCCUUCAAUGCAAUUGAGUCUCACGGGUGGCAGGAUACAAUUUGUGUUUGAGUUUGGCUUUCUAGUGAAACUCUUGGCUUGUCACUCUCAAGGCACAACAAGCUCCUUAAAUAGCAGGCUAAAUUUCUCCACCUAGCCUAAAAAAAUAAAACAGUACUCUGCCAAAUGAAAGGACAUAUUCCAGUAUUCUUUGUUGUUGCAACAAAUUGGGUGGAUACUGUCAGACUUCUGCGUUCUGGGAAUACUUCCAGAGCCUCUCUUUGUGUGCAAGUCGGUUACCAUGUAAUUGUCAACUUAAAUUGCAGUGUUGGAUAACUCCGCUUCGGCUGUAAGCUAAUCUGCCUUGCUGGUGCCUUUGCCCACAGCGUGUGGGCACAGAGCUGCACUGCUUCUCCUGCAUGGGACUGCAGGCACCCACAGGUGGGGGCCGUGUCGUGGUGGGACAGUGUUGCACUGGGGCCAUGCCAUGUUGGGGCAGUGUUGCAUUGGGGCCAUGCCAUGUUGGGGCAGUGUUGCAUUGGGGCCAUGCCACGUUGAGGCAGUGUUGCUUUGAGGCCAUGUCAUGGUGGGGCAAUGUUGCAGUAGGCAGUGUUGCAUUGGAGAAAUAUCAUGUUGGGGCAGUGUUGCACUGGGGCAGUGUUGCAUGGGAGCGAUGCCAUGUUGGGGCGAUGUUGCAUUGGAGCCCUCGUGCCAUGGGUGAUGGCCGCUUAGAUAAAGCCCUGCCCAGCACUGAGAGGUUCAGAUCCUGCUUGUGUGGUUGGGGCUGUCCCAGGCGUGGCCCCGUGCCCCACGUGCCUCUGUCUGCGGUGGAGGAGAGAUAAAAGGUUGCUUUCGAUGCGGUGGGAAUCGUGUUCACCCUCUUCCUUCCCCUUUCAAAUUGGCAGCUCAUUUUGUUGUGUUUGUUUUAGCCUGAAUCCCAAUGACAAUUAGUGCUAGAAGGCUAGAUUAAGCUGUUUUUACUUGUUUUCUUUUUCGCUUUGAUUUCCACCUCCUCCAAAUUCUUAAUCCUACUGAAUAUUUCAUCUCUUGUAACUCUGUCAAUUGAAAGUCCCCCAGCGGGACGCACAGGACCAGCACUAUUAGAGCUGCUUUGCUGCAGCUGAUGCUGCUCAGCGCUGGGCUGAGUUUGUUGCGCAAUUUAUUUCAGACGAGCAAACCACAGCAUCCGCUGCAGCAUCAACUGCACGGGCAGCCUGGGAACGGGGCUGCGCAGCAAACGAGAACUUCGGUGGCUGAUGAGAAAGCAGAGCACCCCUCGUUCCCAGCCCGCUCCUCCUCCCGCUGCACGCAAUGGUUGCAGGUGGGAACCUCCGGCGGCGCCGCGGUCCCACCGCAGCCAUAGGGAACGUGCUGCUGGGGUUGGCUGCUGCUGGGGCUCCUUUCUGCUGGUUGGCGUGGGGCACAGAGCUGGGGAUGUUGCCCGCCCCUGUUCACCAUUCCCCAGCAGAAAUCACACUUGCAGCUUUUUUUUUUCCCCCCACUGUGACAGUGCUUCCCAGGGUGCUCUCGGAUUUGUUGGGGUUGGCUUUUCUUUCUUGCUAUUACCUUGAAAGUUUUGACAAAAAUUUUCAGUGGGGAACUUGACUCGUGUCAAAAAGGCAUUUCCCAGCUUGAACUGCUCUGGGCCAGCUCUGCUCAGGGCUGCCUAUCCCAAUAGACGCUUCCUCACUUCUGCUACCUCGUGCUGCCGGGGAGAAAGGCUGUGCGUGGGGUCAGCGGAGUGCACUGCCUUUUACCCCACAGAGCACUCAGCAAUAUCCCUAGCAGUGCACAGGGAUAUUCCCCCAGGAGGAAUCGAGCUGCUCACGCAUUUCACCACCUCCAACGCGAAGCAGGGCUGCAGCAGCUCUGCCAGCAGCUCACCGACACUUGCAAAGCUUCGGCGCUCCUCACCUGCUCUGUCUGCUCCUUAUCGAGAGCCCCAAAGUGGCUGCAGCCCGAAUGGAAUUGACAGCAACUGGCUCCAAGUGCUGCUGCCAAGGGAGCGGCGGUGGCAUAUGUUUGCUCUCAGAGCAAGGUUACAGCCUUGACUCAUUAGAAGUUCUUCUCCUCCUUUUGGGGCAUAUGUGGAAGUGCUGGGUGCCAAGCUGGCAGCGCAUGGGGGAGCAGGGAAGGCUCCGUGAGGUGCUGGUGUUUGCACUUCUGUCCGUGGUUGGUCUGCACUGAGAGUAGAUGCAGAUCUGGUGCAAUGCUGGGGUGCACGGCCCCGUGGGCAGCUCCCAGCACUCCUUCAGGGCACAGAUGUGAGUCUGGGUGCAGGUUGGCUCACAGGUCAGUGCUGCAGCAGUUGGAGCUGUGUGGGCGCUGCACGGAGCUGGGUUAUUCUGCGCACCCCUCAGUAAUGGCACGAUGGCUUUGCGGCAUCUGCAACCCAUAGUAAUGGCUCAUUGCUGAGCCAUAAGUGGUCGUACCGUCCUUGGGAUUUAUUGCAGGCCGAGGGAUUAAUUUCCUGAAAUAUACGGUCAUGAUGUUGAGGUUAAAUUAAGAUCUCAUUCAAAAGGAUUCUUUUUAUCAUAUUUAAUUUGUAACCCUUUUUUUCUGCAGCCAUUUUACAGCUCUUCCUCCCCCUCCCUUCGAUGUUCAGUGUCAUGUUUCCAGGAAGAAUCUUAUUUCAUGCAGACUAAUAGCAUUUUUCAGUACAACCUUUUACGGUUCUCCCCGUUCGAGUUUCUCCUGUCUCGGUUGCUCGUACACAACGAGGUCUUAAAUCCUCCCUUAGAAAAUAGAGACGUUGAUGCAAAAGCAACCAGAGCUGCUGGCAGAGCCCAAAUCCAUCCCUUCUCCUUCCCCACACCCCCUCCAAUCUGCUGUAACUAAAAGCCCUUUUACUUCAGAGCGGAGCACGUUGAUAGAACACAUGUCGGAUAAAUCCAACAGGACAUUUUUACACCGGGUGAUAAGUCUAUAAAGUGGAUCUGGUUCUGCGCUGGCCUCGCUUUGCCCUCCGUGGUAUCAUUAGACGGACAGAUGGACGGCUGUGCUCAGGGAUGCAGGAGGUGGCAAUCCUGUUUGCUGGGGUGAGUUUUCCUCCCUCCGCUCAGCACCAGAGCCAAGCACACGUGGGCACCUGUGUAUGCAGGACGGCACUGCGGGCACGGAGCGCGCAGCCCCCAGGUGUUCAUCUCUGCCUGGGGGCAGUGGGGUGAGUGUGACCCCCGGGGAGCACAGACCGCAGCCCCAUAGCACAUCCUCCUGCUGCUCCUGAAGGCGGGAGGACAAGCAGCCCUAAAGCUCACUUGGUUUGCAGAGGCUUCUCUGUGCCAUGCGGUGCCGAUGCGAGGGCCUGGAGCGGGCACACCUGCCUGCAGGGAGCAGCCCAGCCCACCCGCAGCCCACAGCCCUGCCUCGUGCCACCAUUUGCUGGACAUCUUGAGGCUGAUUGCGGAGGUCAGGACUCAACUGGAAAGACCGCAACGGGUUGCUGACUGGCAUCCACGGCCCAGAUAAGAUAAAAACAACUGAUGACAGCGGGGAAGUGAAACAGUCAUCUCAGCACUUGGAUUAAUGCCCGGCGAGAAGGAAGGGAAAAAAACGAGGAGGGCCGUAAGGGAGGGGAAGGGGGUGGAAUACGGAUGAGAAUAGAAACUCUGGAAAAAAGCUAUCAGGAGGCAGCAGAGCUGGGUGUUAAAUAUUUAUGAAUUAGCAGCUCUCAUCGUGCCCUGCCUGUGCCGUGUGGGUGCUGCGAGGGGAGGGAGACGAGGUGACCGUGCGGUCGUGGCUGGGCAGCAACAGCACCAUGCAGAACAAAUGCAGGUGAAGAGGAAAAGGGUAAAUGAGGCACCGCAGAAACCGCUAUUCCAAAAAUUCUGCUGAAGAGCAGUGGGGUAAUUAAAUCAUAAUUGCUUCUUGCUCAGCUGGAGUGACAUUGUGAGUGGCUGAAGGUGGUGAGGAGAGGAAGGGGAAGUUUCGCCGCUGCUCCGCUUGCAAUGGGGCAGCCCCAAACCUGCUGGGCCCCAACCCCUCUGCCCCCACCCUCUGCUCGGGGCUGGCUGCUGCCUCCUGCUGCAUCCCACUCUGUGCUGUGCUGGUACAGCCCAGGUGUGGGCAUCCCUGGUGCGAGGAGCUGAUGUGCCAAACCUGAGAGCUUUGGAGGAGCCAUUCCCAGCUGUGAGACAAGCAGUCUGCAAAUCCUGAAUCACCUGUUGCUCCUCCCCAUCCCUGUUACCAUGCAGAUGGGUCAUCCCUGCCUGGGAUCCCAGUGGACGCCAGUGGGAGUGCUGUGCCCACAGCUGAUCCUGGCACCGGCUGGAAGGCGAUGGGAGGAGGAAAAGGGCUCUGGCGGCGCAGACAAUAAAAAGUCUUUGCGUUCCACUGAAGUUUCUUGAGCAACUGGCAUUUGCCCAUAAAUGUACUUAAGCAGAAAAUCACCAGAAAAGUGCUAUAAUCUGACAGAUUUUUCACAGGCUUAAAUAUUCAUGAAUUAAAAGAAUUGGCAGAAUUUUCUACAUUAUUAGCUUUCAGCAUGGCUACGGGAGCAGUUGGUGCACUGGCUGCUCUUCAAAAACUAUUAAUCUAGUCUGUCAUCACAGCAGCCAUUUUUUAAUUAGCUACUUUGCUGAACGAUCUGGUGCAGCAGCGAGACUGGAACAUUUACGUGGUAUUAAAGUUUUAAAGGUGCCCCUUUCCAUUUUUAAGCAAAGUUCUGAAACACAGCAAUAGGGGAAGCGAGGCGGAGGCGGAUCGCUCCGCUCCAAUGGUUAACUGCUGCUUUUAUUUUGGAAAAUCACGGCUUGGAAUACAGAGCUGCUUCUACGAGGAGGAGAAAUUGCAUGAAAUAAAUUGGUUCUCUAAACUGAAGUUCACAGCAUUCCUUCCCCAUGAAAUCAAAAGGAGAUGUUUGGAGCCGAAGCCUUGCGUGCGGAUCUCAUGGAAAAUGAGGGGGCAUGGCACUGCCUGCGGCGGGCAGGAUUUAUUGCUGCCAGUCCCACGGGGAGAUGGCAGCGGGUGGGGGAUCUGUGUGUCUGCUGAGCUGAGCUCCAGAGGGCUGGGGUGGACCCUUCCCAGAUUGAGAGGCUGCGGUGAGCUGGCUGCCACGGGAGCGCAGGGCUGCUCGGGGCCGUGCCUCCAGCACUUGUAUCCAUUCUGGCACUGAUACCUCAAUGCCGGCACUGGUACCCAUCCCUGGCAGAGCUCUUGUCUGGGAACGGGGCUGGGUCUGUGCUGGCCUCACGCUCUGGGUUUCGUUAGCCCCAUGUACAUCACGGGGCUCAGCCCUGAGGUACUCCUGGCUCUGGAGGAGGCAUUGCUCCCAAACAGCUGGAAACAGCUCCCAAAGCUGGUGUUCACUGAGCCACGCGUUCUGGCUUGGAGGGUGGACAGCCCAAUCCUUCUGUCCCUACUGUCCUCGGUACUGGCUGAUGGUAGCGGAGCAGGAGCACGUGGGGGGGGAUGCUCUCAGCCCCCAUCCCAGGUGCUGCAGGUGGCGUGGGCAGAGAACCCACAGUGCCAUCCCCAAGGAGACCUGGUGAGCUCAGACCCUGGCCCCAAGCAGGGCGGCUUACAGGCAUAGCUUUGGGCUUUCCCAUCCAAACCUCAUCACCCAGACAUUGGCACAGUCCCUCCUGAGCCCUGCUUUGCUCUCUGUGCCAGAGCUGCUGCUCUCCUGACUUGUUAUUUGCAUGUGAAAAAGCAGCAAAAUUAUGUCUUUAUGGUGGUUCUAAGAGUGCCGCUUUUUGGCAUCGGUGGGUGCCUCUCUGAUCUGUACUGCUGGGUCCCAACAGAGCUUUUCUUUGGGCACUGUGAUGCCUGUGUCUUGCUGCCUGCAGGGUGAGAAAGGCGUGCUGGAAGUUUCUUUCUUUUCCAUUGUCAUGGAAAGUGAGAGCUGUAAAGAAAUGGAGGGUCCCAAUGCCAGUGCUGCACAUACAGCGCCUGCAGUGCUGCUCCUUGUACGCCCUGCUGCCAUGAGAAGUCGUUUCAAAGGAGGUUUCCCUCUUCCUUGCCUUGAUAUCACGGAAGGGAAUGAGCACUUUUUGGCUGCUGUGAAUCUCGUGCCCUGAUCCCAAUUAGUAGGAGAAGUGGAGGGGGAAACCCCACUCUAUAGCUCCAAGGCAGGAAAAAUGGGGAAACAAUCCCAGAAAAACUUUGCGGUGUGAUAAUUUUAAUGUGGUUUUCUGGGUUUGGAUUCCUUGGUGGGUUUUGUCUUCCGUUGGCCAUUCCACUCCUCCAUUCAGCUCCUUCUGCCCUGGGGCUGGGAAGCCCGAAUUGCACCAAGCAUCCCUUGCAGGGAUGGCAACAGGGGCAGCCACCGCUGCUGCACUCCAAUGCUAUGAAUUCUUUUUUAAUCCUUCAUCAUUUUUAAUAUGCAGUCACUUAAAUGAGGCACACACCCUUCUUGGCAAUUAUUUGUAAUUGUCCCCUGUGAGUUCUUGAACAAAACACUCUUUAUUAAUACUUAAAGCUUCUAAAAGCAUUACAGAUCAGAUGGAGAUACUCUAUCCAGCGGGCUGCACCACGCACUGCAGCCCGUUAAUUAAAUUUGCCAGAUAGGAUUAUUUAUUAGAAGGAUAUGCUCAAGAUGCUCUUUGAAAUGUGGGGCUGUCCCGUGCUUUCUGCUGCGUCAUACACGGCACUGAUAUUUACACUGUGGGAAAAGUGAGCUUUUCCAUUUGGAUUCAAAUGAACAUCUGAGAGAAACGAGAGCGUUCACGGAGGAUGGCCAUGCUGAGAUCCCACUGCAUGCGGCUCCGCGUGGUUGGAAGGAGCAGGGGAGGAGGAGAGAGUUGCAGUGGGAACAGAGGGGGUGAUGGAUGGCAUGGGGCUGGGAUGGAGCUGCUCUGCCCCACCGAUAGCCCUGCUGCUGGGGGCGCUCAGUGCAGAGCCCCUCGAUGUGAGCUCCAGGAGACCCAAAGGAACUGCUGCCUAUUAAAAAAAAAUCAGCUGUAUCUCUCCUUGUUUGAACAACGGGGCCAUAUGUGUUUCCUCUCAUUAAAACUAUUUU